GGAUGUGAGGGUGAUCUGGCUGUGACAUCCGUCACCCCAGUGAUCGCCAGGGCUGAUUCGGCUGAUCUGGCCAGCUAGGUGGGUGUCCCCUUCCUCCCUCAGGGCUCCAUGUGUGUCCUUCCAGAAGGACGGCUUUCCCUGGACCGGUCUCCAGUCGAGGGUGUCCCAGUGGCUGCGCGCCCCUGCUAGGAGCUCCAAACAAGCUCUCAAGGUCUAGUAAAUUAUUCGAACAAUUUGCUCACAGUGAUCAGUGCAAACAGCUCACGCCCUUACUUUCCCUGACAAGUACGUCCCAGGCCUUGUGUUCUGUUUUCCUC
rnacentral:snRNA from 1 species